rfam:Stegodyphus mimosarum contig106885, whole genome shotgun sequence.
GCCUUCGUGGUGUAGUGGUCAGCACACUCGGUGCGUAUUCGAGAGGUCCGUGGUUCGAGUCCAGGAGAGGGCA